UGAGAAAGUCCUGUUUAGGAGUUCAGCCAUGCACUGCUCUCUUUCGAUUGCCUUAGAACUAAAGAAAGACAGGAUUUCCCAAUGCCCAGAAUGGGGAGCUCUCAACAGAUUGAUCUGCAACAGGGGACUGUCCAUUCUUUGUAAGUGAGCUGGCCAGAAAGAAGAAAAAGAGUUUGUGGUGGGAGAGCAGUCUGAGAUAGACCUCGUCUGAUCUCCAGGGCAAGUUGCACCUGACAAGGGAAGACAUAAAUCUGUGGAUCUGUCUGUCUGCCAGAGGUAGCGCAAGAUGGACCCCUUCUGUCUGGACGUUAACAUAAACUUGGCCUGCGUCCUGCAUUGUCAGAUGAAAUGAGUGGGAUGACACCAGCGCUGAGAUGACCGUGCCACAGGUUUUUGAAUCAUGCAACAACAUCAUAAAUCAACUGCAAGAACAUUGAACAUGGGACCUUGCUUCGGCAUCCUUAAUCACCACCCAAAGAGGGCAUUUAACUUCUUGGCAAGGCUCCCCGAUUAUUGUUUGAGGAGGCAGUGCCACGUGUCAGAAUCAGUUUGAAUCAUUAACAUAGCAAAGAAGAUGAAUGGGGGUCAAACAAACAGGUCAGUGCCUCUUCAUCUUUCUCUCAGAUCAUAAAUCUUUCCAGGCAAAGAAAAAAAAUAAGGCAAAGACAGUUUUUCUCAAACAUCCAUGUAAUUUUUUCAGCUGCAAAAUACACUUUUGUAAAAUACAGCUGUUUUUCAUUCUAUCUUCAGUCUUAUCCAGGCUUGUGCACAUUCACACGCUUCAGCAAAAACCUCGGUACACAGAGUUUAAGAUAAGUCACAAUUACAUAACCAGAGUAAGCUUAAAUUCUGCUCAAAUAACACUGCAUAUGAAUGGUUGUUUUUCUAGCACCAGGCUAAUUUCUGGGGGAAGUGAGCUUCACAUGAAGGUAAUAAAUGGAGUUUCCUUUUUGAAAUCCACUCUGCACCGACCUGAGUAGAUGACAACCCCUGAUAAGGUUAAAUAAACACCUUGGCCUAUCCCCUUCAACCCGCAGAGCUACUGAAACUGACAUACAGUUCACACACACGUACUACACACACGUACACACAUCGAGCCUCGUCUGUGCUGAGCCACUGUAACUGUAACUGGCCGUAUUCACUGCUACUUUCUAUAAACUGCUUCAGUGCUGAUAGUCAUCACUGUUAAUGCAUAUCUCUGUUUACAUCUGCACGUGCCUUACAAAUUGUGUGUGUAGAAUAAAGCAAACAGACAGGAGUUAAUACUGUACCCACGUGGAGAAUUUUAGUUUAGGACUCAUUAUUUGUUUUUCUUUUAAGAGAAUCAGCUACAUAACUGUUUUGUAGUGUACAAUUCUUGUCUUUUUUGUAAACUUACUUAGGACUGUGGUUAAUAAUAAGCAGCUUAUUUUUCUAUUCACUUUUUAUUCCUAGAACUUUGAGGUGGUCUUAUUAUGAUUCAGUUUAAUGCAAAUUAUGGGGAUAUGGUGGCUUUUUGCAUGAGGACAAAUAAUCCUGGUUUAAGUAAAACCAGUUGGUUUUUGAUGAGAAGAGUCUAUAGCCAUGGCACAAAUUGUGACCUCAUGGUGACGCAAGACAGAAAUUCAGGGGAUCACUAAAGUGAUUACAAUUGCUCCUGUAGGGACAUGGAUGUGUGUACAAUUUUUCAUGACAUGUGUCACCAAAAAUGUCAAACUGCUGGUGGCGCAAGCGGAAAAGUCACAAGAUCACUAAAGUCAUUAGGAUUCAUCCUUUCUGAAUCAUGAAUAUCUGUGCAAAAUGUUUUAUGUCAGUAAGUUUCGUCCUUUUGGGAAAAAUGAAUAUCUGUACAACAUUUUACGGCAAUUAGAUAUUUUCAGUCAGGACUAAAAGUGACAGACUGACCAAUAGGCGGAUAUUGCUAUCCAUACAGCCAUACUGGUAGGAUGGCUAAAAAUGAAAAUUAUGAUUGUUUGGUUUACUUUUACUUUUGUGUACAACAGCAGUAAAAACCCAGAGUAAUGUCCUUUUCAGUUCACUUCAGUUUUAUUUAUAUAGUGCCAUUUUAUAACAGAAGUUAUCUCAUUGCACUUUUAUAUAGAGAGCAGGU